UAGGCAUUCAGAAUCUGGUGAAAAAAUCUUCUAGGAGCAGCUAACAAGAAUCCUAAUACAGGAGUGUUUAUGGUUGGGUUGAGACACAUUCAGUAGCUGAGUGAUUGACAGCAAGAGGAGCAAGACAUGAGGUUAAUAAUUAUCAAAUAUAUGGCAAUGCUGGACUUUAGCUGAUCAUCGUGCUUCUGGAAAACAACAAAAAUUGAGAUAUCUGUUCACCACUUUGUGUGUCCAAGGACCACCUACUUUUUACAUGUGACAAGAACUACCCACCUCCACUCUUCAGGAUAGAACAUGCUGAAGAAAAGAGUUGCAAUGAGAAAAUAUAUGGGAACAAAAUACCUAUGCAAUGCAGAAGUCUGCAUAACUGAACCACUCAGAGGAAAAAGAUUGCCAUUUCAGGACACCUCCUACAUCUGAGGAAAUAUGCAUUGAUCUUGCAGUACUUUUCUCCUCCAAAUAAAAGUCAGUAUGAUAACAACUACACUAUCAGAAGUCUAAGCCAAAGGACACUUCAGUUAUCCAAUCUUGCAACAAAUACAUUUAAGCACUUAAUAUGGGCUACUGUUGGUACUAGGGGCAUUGAGAACUUCAGAUUUGAUUAACACCCAAGAGCUGCUACCAUAAAAUAAACUAGGCAGCUACUAGGCAAUAAGAUGAGGCACAUGUGUAAAACUUCUGCUUUUAGCUUGGUGAAGAGUGGUUACACAGCCAUUAUUACAAAAAUUACAUUUUUCCACAAAUAAAGACAUCACUUUUCUAGAGAGUAUAUGCUGCCAUUUGCUUUUGUCAUUUAAGAAGUGCUCAGUAGAGAAUUUAAUAUAAACUUUUAUUAAACAGCAACUGUGAUUUACUAUCA
rnacentral:lncRNA from 1 species